GCAGAGGUCGUUCAGUGGUAGAAUUCACGCCUUGCAUGUGAGAGACCUGGGUUUGAUUCCCAGGCAAUGCA
rnacentral:tRNA from 1 species